CCUACGGGAGGCAGCAGUGGGGAAUAUUGGACAAUGGGCGAAAGCCUGAUCCAGCAAUGCCGCGUGAGUGAUGAAGGCCUUCGGGUCGUAAAGCUCUUUUACCAGGGAUGAUAAUGACAGUACCUGGAGAAUAAGCUCCGGCUAACUCCGUGCCAGCAGCCGCGGUAAUACGGAGGGAGCUAGCGUUGUUCGGAAUUACUGGGCGUAAAGAGUACGUAGGCGGUUAUUCAAGUCAGAGGUGAAAGCCCGGGGCUCAACCCCGGAACUGCCUUUGAAACUAGAUAACUAGAGUCUUGGAGAGGUUAGUGGAAUUCCGAGUGUAGAGGUGAAAUUCGUAGAUAUUCGGAAGAACACCAGUGGCGAAGGCGACUAACUGGACAAGUACUGACGCUGAGGUACGAAAGCGUGGGGAGCAAACAGGAUUAGAUACCCUGGUAGUCCACGCCGUAAACGAUGAUAACUAGUUGUUCGGUCACUUGGUGACUGAGUGACGCAGCUAACGCAUUAAGUUAUCCGCCUGGGGAGUACGGUCGCAAGAUUAAAACUCAAAGGAAUUGACGGCUGNGANGCGAGACGACACGAGGAGAG
rnacentral:rRNA from 1 species